ACCCAAUUAUGUUGUGUUUUUUUUUUGUCUCGGAGUUCAGGUGUUUCGCCCAGGGGACACUGAGGAAGAGGUCUGAGGAAGAGACCGCCUGCUCGUGCACCAGCUGGAAAAGAAACCUGGUGCCUUUUCAUCUUCAGCUGGUCAAAUUGCUUUCAGGACCAAGCAUUUUUGGAGGAUGGUCUCAUCCUGGGCAACCCAGCAUUCUCUCAGUUGAUACAGCAAAGAUGGGACACCCAAUCUUUUAAUUACAAAAAGACCUCCACCCUCAAGAAAAGAGGAAGCACAGCAAGCAGCCACCCCCAUCAGAGAACAAUGGCAGAAAGUAGGGAGGAAGCAUCCUUGACAAGAAAGGACUGUAUAUUCCCUGGAUUACUACAUAUUCUAUAGUUUUAUUCACUGCUUUCCUACUAAAAUAGAUUUUCCAUGGCUUACCGUUUUUUAAUCUAGUUGGUGAAUCUUCA